GAUGGCAGAGGGGAAGAAGCUGUUCCUGAAUCACUGAGUGUGUGCCUUCAGGCUUCUGUACCUCUUUCCUGAUGGUAACAAUGAGAAGAGGGCAUGUUCUGGGUGAUGGGGUCCUUAAUAAUGGAUGGCACCACUGCUUGAAGAUGUCUUGGAUACCACGGAGGCUAGUACCCGAGAUGGAGCUGAAUAAUUUUACAACUUCCUGAAGCUUCUUUCAAUGUUGUGCAGUAUUCACCCACCUCCACCUCCCAUACCAGAGAGUGAUGCAGCCCGUCAGUAUUCUCUCCACGGUACAUCUAUAGAAGUUUUCAAGAGUCUUAGGGACAAACCAAAUCUCUUCAAACUCCAAAUGAACUAUAGCUGCUGUCUUGUCUUCUUCAUUGUUGCAUUGAUAUGUUGGGACCAGGUUAGAUCCUCAGAGAUCUCGACACCCAGGAACAUAAAAUUUUGCUCACUCUCUCCACUUUUGAUCCCUCGAUGAGGAUUGGUUCGUGUUCCUUCAUCUUACUCUUCCUGAAUUCCACAAUCAGCUCUUUCAUCUUACCGGCAAUGAGUACAAGGUUGUUCCUGCAACACCACUCAACUAGCUAGUAUAUCUCGCUCCCUGUAUGUCCUCUCAUCUCCAUCUGAGCUUCGGCCAACACUGGCUGUAUCGUCAGAGAGUCAGUUUCUCCCAAAGCUGCUUGGACCUUCAGAGAUGUCUUACCAAUUACAACACACACUGGAGCCACUCAGCAGGUCAGGCAGCAUCUAUGGAAAUGAAUAAACAGUUGACAUUUCAAGCCAAGAUCUUUCUUCAAGACCGCAGAAGAAGGAGGAUGACGCCAGAAUAAAAAGGUGGGGUAUGAGAAGGAUAUCGAGAAGGUGAUCAGUGAAGCCAGGUGGGUAGAAAAGAUAAAGGGCUGGAGAGAAAGCAAGCUGAUAGGAGAGGAGAGUGGACCAUAGGAGAAAGGGAAGGAGGAGGGGAGCCAGAGGAGGUGAGAGGCAGGUGAGAUGAGGUAAGAGGCCAGAGUGAGGAAUAGAAGAAGAGUGGAGGAGAUAUCGAUAUUCAUGCCAUUAGUUUGGAGGUGCCCAGAAAGACUAUAAAGUGUUGCUCCUCCAUCCUGAGGGUGGCCUCAUCGGGGCACAAGAAGAGGGGAUGGAUCAAUAUGUCAUAAUGGGAAUGGGAAUCGACGAAAUGGUCCCCCAGUGUACGACAGGUCUCACCAAUGCAGGGGAAUCUGUAUCGGGAGCGCUGUUCAGAAAGGAUGGCCCCUGCAGAUUCGUAGGUGAAGUGUUGCCUCAGGAGUCCUAAAUGGAGUCGAGGAAGGAGGUGAUUGGGCGGGGGGAGCACUGGGCUGGUUGCAGGAUUAAGUGCCAGGAGGGAGAUUAGUGGGGAAGGAUGAAUAGACAGGGAAGUCAUGGAGGAAGAAACAGGAGGUAAAGAUGUGUUUGGUGGUAGGAUCCUUUUGGAAAUAGCAGAAGUUGGGGGCGAGUGAUGUGUUGGAUGCAGAGGCUCAUGGGGUGGUAGGUAAGGACGAGAGGUACUCUAUCACUGUUAAGGUGAUGGGAAGAAGUACUGAGUGGGGAUGUUGGGGAAAUGGAAGAGAUGCGGGUGAGGCAGCAUUAAUGGUGGAGGAAGGGAAGCCCCAUUUGUUCAUGAAGGAGAACAUCUGGAAAGGAAAGCUGUAUCCUGGGAAUAGAUGCGGCAGACAAAGGAACUGAGAAAAGGAAAUAAAUGUAUCCAAAGUAUUGAGUGAACAAUGUUAUUGCAACUAUUGAAAUUGAAUUGCCUUUGAUCUUAAGAGUAUAAUUAUGGUGUACUUAUGGGUUUGUGAGCCUCGACCGAGCGUGUCUCCAGAAUGACGCCUGCUUGUUGUGCUGAAUAAAGACUUUUAUGUCACCAGUUUCAGUGUCUCUCCAUCACAUUCUGGAAGCUCAUCCAGGAUCCAUUCGUGAUCCACUCUCUUAAGGAGACUAAGGGGUGAGUAUUUCCAAGUGUAGCACCCAUGCUUAGAUCUGUUCAGGUCAACGACAAUGGGAUCACAAAGUAUCAGCGAACAUGUUGGAGAGCUGAACUGAAGGGUGAAAGAGUAAUGCUUGCACAUGCGUGUUUGUGUAAGGACUGGCUAUCAGACAGUUUUGGGCAGCUUGGUGAAGCACGGCCACCAGUUGUGAAAAGUGAUUACUGACCAUUUGGGAUGCCAGAGGGGUAUGUGUAACUAUAUGUGGGGCAUACUUGUUUCAGAGUGGGCUUGGGUGUUUUAAGGAUAAGUUUGAAACUUCAGGGUAACAGCCCUUUGUAUGGAAAGAAAUACAAUAGGCACCUUGAGUUCAGUUGCAUAUAAGCAGCCGAUUGCAGAAUACAUACUCUGUAGUUUUAAGUAUGCACUGUUUAAUUUUUAUCUAUCCUUUAUAUUUUGCUUAGUGUGGAGAUAUUUGAGGGGGAGGUUAUACCCAGGUAUCUCUGUUGGGAUGGCUCCUAUUGAGGUUAGACAAUGUCAGGUCGAGAAUCUUGAUGAACUGAGUCAGGCUUAACUAACAUUUACAAGCCCCUCACCCCCAGGGAGAAGCAGAGCAUUUUGUCUAAGCUGCCCUCACUUAGGGUUGCUCAUGGGACUUCAGAGCUCAAGGAGAUGAUAAAGUUCACCGAAUUGCACAUGUGUUGGUUAAAGAAAAACGCCCAAGGAAUAUGUGGGGUAGGAUGGCCCAGGGAGUGCAGAAUGGUACCUGGGCAACUAGCGGGAAUGCCAGUGAGGAGGAGAGACAUUGCUCUGGGAAAGACACACUGAGUAAGGCAGGUGUUCACAUAAAUUCAGGAAAGGGAAAAAUAACACGGACAAGACAAAGACAGUGAACAUGUGUGUCCUUCUGGUCAAGAUGGUGCCUGUGUAUAACACUCCUUCGCUCGAAGUCUUCUGGAUAGAUCAUGAAACCAUACCUUUCACUUCUUUAAUGCCUUUUUCAUUUGUGUUUUGUCUUGGAUGUGAUUCUGCAACUGUUGGAGCCUGUGAUUUGCUGUUUGGAAAUCGAUCGGGUGUUCCAGCGCCUUGCAGCCUCCGAGAGGAUUCCGGGAGACAGAGGCAGUGAGCAGGCUGCAGGAAGGGGCACGAGCUGACGUUCGACUCCAUUUUGCCAAUUAGAGCUUUCAUUGUCUGCUGAUUAAAGCACGAGGAAGAUUGAAACAUCAAGGCGAAAGCGGAAGUUUGGAGAUUGUUUGGGCGCUCCAGCGCUCUGCAGACUCUGCAAAGGGAGACAGGCAGUGUCCACGAACCUCGUGGCAACCAGGCUGUGGAACAGGGUGGAAGUCAAUGUCCAACAUCAUUUUACCGCUUGAAGCUCCCAUUGUGCGCUGAUUAAAUCAAGGAGGGAGAUUGAAUAAUCGAGGCAAAUGCAGAAGAUGAACGCCAGUUGCCUGCUUUUUGUUCGCUCUGCUAUUGGAAAGCCUCCACUGUGCCCGGAGAAUUUUUACCCAGCUUUUCUGUGUUUUGGAUGUGGACUUGGGCUAUAGACUUUUCCCAGUCUUAUAGUUUUUAAUAUUCUGUGUUUUUCGUCUGAUCUUUUCUUUUUGGUGUGGGGGUGGGGGAUUUGGGGAUCAAAGUGCCUGUUCUGUUUAGUUCUUUUUUUGUACGGGGAGGGGGAUUUGGGAGUCGAUGAUCGUGCUGCCUUUCUUCCUUUUCUUUCUUGUUUUCAUGGCUGCCCGCAGACGAAGAAUUUCAGAGUUGUAUACUGUGAUAAUAAAUGAAUCUUUGAACCUU